UUAUUUUUAGAAAUACUGGGCCAGGACUUUCGCAGUUGUUUGAAUGAGCAUUCAUAUGUUUAACCUGAAAUUUGAAUAAAUAAAAAACGCCAACUUCCUGGCC